rnacentral:rRNA from 1 species
UGGUGUAAAGGAUGAUCCGCCUAAUAAUUUACUUUUAUUAUAUUGGUGUAUAUCUGGUUUAAUAUUAUUGCUGAAUGGCAGAAGUUGUGUAGUGUUAUUUAAGUCAAGUCUAUGUGCUGUUUAUAAAAGUAUUCAUGCGUUACAUUAAUAAGUAUUUAAUUGUAAUAUUAGAUGAUUUAGGACUUAAAAGUAAUGUUUAAUUAAUUAGUAAAUGUGAAAUAA